CCUUGGGAUAUUGAUGAGGCCUUGAGGAGACGUCUGGAGAAAAGGAUUUAUAUACCUUUACCCAAUGCUGAAGGUAGAGAAGCCUUUUGUCAAUCAACUUGCGUGAAGUGAAAACUGAUGGAGAUGUUAAUCUGGGUGAAAUUGCAAAUAUGUUGGAUGGCUACUCAGGAGCAGAUAUUACUAAUGUGUGCAGGGAUGCAUCUAUGAUGUCUAUGCGUCGUAAAAUAGCAGGAUUAAAACCAGACGAAAUCCGUGCAUUUCCAAAGAAGAACUAGAUCUGCCUGUCACUCAGCAGGACUUCCAUGAUGCAAUAAUGAAAUGUAAUAAGUCUGUAUCACAGGAUGACCUUGAAAAGUAUGAGAUGUGGAUGAGGGAAUUUGGGCUUCCUGAGGUAUUCACAUACAAUAGGAAAGUGGAAAGUCUAUUACAGUGAUAUGUGCACACUUCCUAGGAGUAAAUGUGCAAGGAAAAUAUAUUGUGGCUGCAGCAAAACAAUGCACUGUAGGUUUCUGCUUCAAAAUAUAAACUAAUUGCUACAACUAAUAAAGCAGAAGUCACAAGGUCAGAUAAUUCAUGCUAAUACUAUAGGCUGUCUACUAUUUCACUGAAAUAAUUCUUAAUGAUUUGCAUAGUUUUUUUGACGGAGCUCUCUGUAUCUUUCUUGGGAGGCUUAAAUAAGAAUAUUCAAAUACAGGGAAUGAUAAUAUACUAUAUGAUAAUAUAUACAGAACACAAUACUUACAUUAAAAAUGGUGCUGAAAUUACUUAUUUUUUAGGUAAAUUCCUUUCUAGUUCUGUUGUUGUUAACUGUUGACUACUUUUACAAGUUGCAAUAUGAAAUCUAGCAUGAAGAUAUUGAUUCAUUAACUGCAUGAAAAUCAGUCCAUCACAUAUAUAUUUUUAACUAAAGAUGUCCUAGAGGAGGGAUGUAUUACUAUUACUUUAAUGGUCAUAACUCAUGUCAAUCCAUGCAUUAAAUCAGUGGAAAUAGAUGGUGGAAAGUGCAAAUGUCA